GACGAACGCUGGCGGCGUGCUUAACACAUGCAAGUCGAACGGAAAGGCCCUGCUUUUGUGGGGUGCUCGAGUGGCGAACGGGUGAGUAACACGUGAGUAACCUGCCCUUGACUUUGGGAUAACUUCAGGAAACUGGGGCUAAUACCGGAUAGGAGCUCCUGCUGCAUGGUGGGGGUUGGAAAGUUUCGGCGGUUGGGGAUGGACUCGCGGCUUAUCAGCUUGUUGGUGGGGUAGUGGCUUACCCAGGCUUUGACGGGUAGCCGGCCUGAGAGGGUGACCGGCCACAUUGGGACUGAGAUACGGCCCAGACUCCUACGGGAGGCAGCAGUGGGGAAUAUUGCACAAUGGGCGGAAGCCUGAUGCAGCAACGCCGCGGGCGGGAUGACGGCCUUCGGGUUGUAAACCGCUUUCGCCUGUGACGAAGCGUGAGUGACGGUAAUGGGUAAAGAAGCACCGGCUAACUACGUG
rnacentral:rRNA from 1 species